UGCAAGUCGAGCGGAAACGAGUUAUCUGAACCUUCGGGGAACGAUAACGGCGUCGAGCGGCGGACGGGUGAGUAAUGCCUAGGAAAUUGCCUUGAUGUGGGGGAUAACCAUUGGAAACGAUGGCUAAUACCGCAUGAUGCCUACGGGCCAAAGAGGGGGACCUUCGGGCCUCUCGCGUCAAGAUAUGCCUAGGUGGGAUUAGCUAGUUGGUGAGGUAAUGGCUCACCAAGGCGACGAUCCCUAGCUGGUCUGAGAGGAUGAUCAGCCACACUGGAACUGAGACACGGUCCAGACUCCUACGGGAGGCAGCAGUGGGGAAUAUUGCACAAUGGGCGCAAGCCUGAUGCAGCCAUGCCGCGUGUAUGAAGAAGGCCUUCGGGUUGUAAAGUACUUUCAGCAGUGAGGAAGGGGGUGUCGUUAAUAGCGGCAUCUCUUGACGUUAGCUGCAGAAGAAGCACCGGCUAACUCCGUGCCAGCAGCCGCGGUAAUACGGAGGGUGCGAGCGUUAAUCGGAAUUACUGGGCGUAAAGCGCAUGCAGGUGGUUUGUUAAGUCAGAUGUGAAAGCCCGGGGCUCAACCUCGGAACUGCAUUUGAAACUGGCAAACUAGAGUACUGUAGAGGGGGGUAGAAUUUCAGGUGUAGCGGUGAAAUGCGUAGAGAUCUGAAGGAAUACCAGUGGCGAAGGCGGCCCCCUGGACAGAUACUGACACUCAGAUGCGAAAGCGUGGGGAGCAAACAGGAUUAGAUACCCUGGUAGUCCACGCCGUAAACGAUGUCUACUUGGAGGUUGUGGCCUUGAGCCGUGGCUUUCGGAGCUAACGCGUUAAGUAGACCGCCUGGGGAGUACGGUCGCAAGAUUAAAACUCAAAUGAAUUGACGGGGGCCCGCACAAGCGGUGGAGCAUGUGGUUUAAUUCGAUGCAACGCGAAGAACCUUACCUACUCUUGACAUCCAGAGAACUUUCCAGAGAUGAAUUGGUGCCUUCGGGAACUCUGAGACAGGUGCUGCAUGGCUGUCGUCAGCUCGUGUUGUGAAAUGUUGGGUUAAAUCCCGC
rnacentral:rRNA from 1 species